CUCCUGGAGCAAGCCGGGCCAUGGCACUUUUGAUGAAAAUAUGUCUAGUACAGGAAGUCUACCAGGAAACACCCUCCAAAUAGAGAUUAACAUCAGGAAACUUGGGGCAGUCUUGUGACACCGGGCACACAAUGCCACCACCUCCACCACGGGGGCAAAGAUCAGCAGCCUUCAGCAAGCUAGGAAGACAUCUGCUUCUGAGUAAUCUGGGGCAAACAUAAACGUGAACUUCAUUGGGCUCUGGCUUUUGAACAAAGCAAAUGUUAGAAGCCGUGCAUUCCUUAGUCAAGUUGUUUUUCAACAUCCAAGUUUAGGACAGUGACUUCUGACUAGUGGAUUCUUGUCUGCUCAAGGUACUGCUGAGAGUAUUAUAACUGCAGACUGAGUUGUCAAGGAAAUUUUUUUUUUUUAAACCACAACUGUGUGCAGAGCAUUGCUUUCGUGUCAGAGGGAUUUAUAGAAGCCAUAGGUCUCUCAACUGGAAAGAGAGAACGAAUGUUGAUAGAUGGGGAGAUGGAUGGAUGAUUGAAUAGCCCCCGUGACACAGUCCUUGAAACAUCCUCGGAUACUUCGAGACUUCUAAAAUUGAAGCCAGGUGGCCACCGUGCCAGCCAGCUGACUCCCAUCUCUCUCCUGAAGCCUGGGGAGCAUCUGGAUUAAGGUGAAUGCCCUAAGAGGAAGCCUUCCUCCUCCCAAAGCUGCCAGCAGAGCUUCAGACUACAUGCCCUGAGGUUCGGAUCUCUCUGGCCUCCAGAGGGCACUGCCCAUCACCAUCCGAUUCCUCCUCUUCUAGCUCAAAGCCUCCAAGGCUUUCUACUGUCUCCAUGGUGAGAAAGUUCAAGUUCCUUAGGAAGACACUCAAGCCCCCCCAGAUUUGGUUCCUACAUAUUUUCCUUUGUGUAUCCCUCCUAAGAUGUCCACUCCCUCCUUCCAAGAGUGGACAUCUUCUUGGGAGAAUUCUUUUUAGAUCUAGCUUGGAAUUAUGAGACCUCAGGGAAUACUAACACCAUUAAUUUUAAUGAGUUCACACAUAUAAGUGUAUAACACUUUUUACUCACUCAAAGCAUUUUCAGGGCUAUUAGCUCAUCUGAGGUCUCAAAAAUCCUCAGAGGGCUGUAGAGAAGACAUCACCUCCAUUUUACAGAUGGAAAAACUAAGGCACAAAAGGUUGAGAUCUUUGCCUGAGACCGCCUAGCAAGUAGAUGGCAAGGCAGCUCUCCUGAUGUUCCAAGAUCGAGAACAGAGAAUUCAAUCCCUAGUAUAAAGAACUGAAUCCUUAAAAAAAAAAAUUCAUGGCUCAUUUUUCUUUUAUCCCCCCACCUCCUCCUCCUCACAAGGCUAAAUCUAUGAAAUUGGAACAACACAGCAAACAGCUGAGGGCUAUGGUCACAGCCCACAGAACUUUAUGGAAGAUCUGGUCACGGCCCAACUUUUCAAAAAAGCCAAAUGGAUCUGUACAACACAAGUGCAAAUGUUGGGACCAUGCUGACGGGGUGUCUUGUGAGGUAUUUCCACAGGAAGCAAACAACAGGCAAUUAACCUUGCUAUAACAAUGCAUGCGGUCAAAUGAAAAAACAAAAGCCUCAGGAGGAGCCCGCACUCUAUGUCCAGUCCUCGUUUCAAAUAAAUCCGUAUAUCUGACUGAGACUUCACCCUGGCUACCCAUCCCUAACAGCAGGACACGUGCCUCAUGUCUCUAUUGGCAUUUUGACCACUGCUGGGUGGCUUCUGAGAACCAUUGUCCCGGCUAAGAAGCCAACCCAGAUUCCAACAGGGAAGUUGGAGGAAGGUGUUUCAGAGGGCUUAGGUGUCACCGUUCCCACUUCUCAGAUGGGCAAACUGAGGAGUGCAAGCUUAUAGGACCAACAGGUACAAUCCUACAAUCCUAGACAAGGCAUAUGGUGGAAACAGGAUCAGAGCCUGCUCCCUAGCUUGGUGACCAUCUCUAGGGACCAGAGCUUUUCCAGGUCUCCACAUGACAACCAAGCCCUUGGCUGUAAUAACCCAGGGGCAGUGUGACCUGAACAGUAGGCUCUUGGCCAGCAAGUCGAGAGAUCCGAGAGCAACUCCUGGUUGGAUCGUAGCCUCCUCUCCUUACCUGGAAAUUUCAGAGUCACACUGUGUAGCUGGCAUGGGCGGCAGUGCUGGGCAGGAGGUGGGAGGUAGGGUGAGGGCUACUUCCCGUCGGUGAUCUCAACCCCAAUGCAGAAACAAUUCUCAGCCCCGAAGCAGAAACAUUCCUAGAGAUGGCUGGCUUGCUGUCACCGUACCAAGACGUCGCCUCUCACGCACUCGCCCAGAUAAAUGGAAGACCAACCACUCCUAACUCUCUGUCUUCUAUCUUUCUGGAUUUAUUGAAGGGUUUCAAUGAUUUUCAUAAUAUAUUGUUCAGCACAGGGGUCUCAAACUCUGGCCUGCUGUUUAUUCCCUGAUGUCCCAUAAACUAAGAAUGCUAAGGAUGCUCUUUACAUUUUUAAGUGGCUGAAAAAAGGAUCAAAAGAAGACUAAUAUCUCAUUCAUGAUUAUACAAAAUUGAACUUUUGGAGUCCAUAAAUCAAGAUUUUCAGUGCAGCCACACACACUUAAUUUAUGUAUCUUACACUGUGAUGCUAUGACACUUGUAGCUGUUUUCAUGCAGCAGAGUAGAAGGGAGUAGACCAUGUGACCCACAAAGCUCAAAAUUUAAACUCUCUGGCCCUUUACAGAAGAAAUUUAGCCUUUUUAACCAACUCCUAGCUUAGUGUAAAAGGCAGGCCACAAAUCACCGUAUUUGCAUCAUCAUUCUCUACACACUCAUUGAGAAAGAAAACGUACUAGAAUAGGGGUUAUCUCAGGUACCUGAGGUUACAUGCAAUUAUUUGAAUUUUCCACUGACUUUUUUUUUUUUCUUUUCAGGGCCACACCUGUGGGAUAUGGAAGUUCCCAGGCGAGGGGUCAGAUCAGAGCUACAGCUGCAGGCCUACACUACAGCCACAGGAACGAGGGA